UACGGGGGGGGCAAGCGUUGUUCGGAAUUACUGGGCGUAAAGGGCGCGUAGGCGGCCCUCUAAGUCAGACGUGAAAUCCCUCGGCUCAACCGGGGAACUGCGUCUGAUACUGGAGGGCUUGAAUCCGGGAGAGGGAUGUGGAAUUCCAGGUGUAGCGGUGAAAUGCGUAGAUAUCUGGAGGAACACCGGUGGCGAAGGCGGCAUCCUGGACCGAUACUGACGCUGAGGAGCGAAAGCCAGGGGAGCAAACGGG
rnacentral:rRNA from 1 species